UAUAUAUGGGUGUGUAAGCACAAUAAAUUUUGAUUUUUUAAGAGAUGGUUGAAUUCCGUUAUAUAUAA
rnacentral:tRNA from 1 species